UAAGAAGAGCUAGCACUGUCUACUCUCACUGAAAGCCCUCUGCUUGAUAGCUUUGAAGAAAGCAAGAGGAGGCAAAAAAGGAAGUAGGAAGAGGUGAACUUCUUCCAUUCAUGGUCUAAGAAUCAAUGCCACCAUGAACAUCUUUGAGCAAGAACAUCUAGAAGUGGAACUGCUGGGUCAGAGGGUCAGCUUUAACUUUCCAGCCACAACAAUAACAGAUACCAUCACAGCAGAGAGCCCAUCCACCCCUCCGAGAGAGACCCGAGGAUAAGCCAUAGUAAAACAGCACAUGAUUGUCCUUCACCUCCGGCAGAAGGUGCGGCUGUGAGGAAACGUCAAGGGCAAU